CCUUGAGAACUUCUUCACGAAGCUUUUACGUUUGUCUCUGCAAUCUUCGAUGGAACCAAAAAAAAAUUCCUCUCUCUUCUCUACCUCCACCCUACUCUGGCCGGCUCAGCUUUCCCUGCCAGAAACGAUAUUCACUUUUGCUUCUGUCGAGCUCCUCUCCUUUCCGCCUCUAGCUGUGGGUAGACUUUAAUCGAAAGAAAGUGAAGUAUCGUCAUGGGUGUUGUUUGUUUCUGUUUGCAUGUUGAGGAUCUUGGGGGAGUGCAUGAAUCGUUCAGUCAGUCUACGGGAACAGUAUGUGUCUCAGAUGUUUUUGUUUAAAUUUUCUGAUCCUGGUAAGCCUCACAAUUUUGAAGCCCUUUUUGUUUGGUUAUUUGUGGUUUUGAUCUGAAAAUUAACUUAACUGAAAUUCUAUAUUGUCAUGGCUGUUAUUUGUUGAUGUUUGCAUGUUGAGGAUCUUGAUAAGUAUAUGAAUCCAAGCAGUUCAGCUUGCAGCUAAGUGGCCACGAGAUCAGAUGGAUAAGGACUUCUUGAAGCUCUCAAAAAUGUUGAAUGCUUUGAAAUCUGCUGUUAGGGCCCCAAAUCUUUACCCCAAAUAUAAAAUUGUUGUUCUUGCUUCAAAGCAGGAACAUUAACAUGGGGGCAGCAAAUGCCUCUUCUAGCCGAGACGACAAUGCGCUGCAAAUUAUGUGAAGCUGGAGCUGGAAAAGAGGAAGAAAAUCGUCUGCAGAGGGCGGCACAGGAGGAGGUUCAAAAUGCCAGUAGAUUAUGGAUUAGAAGGAGAUUGAUGGGAAUAGUUUGGAGAAGGCCAUCCGUUCUUGCUGCUUGAAGGAUAGGGUUUCACACCCUGAGCUUGGAGAUUCCUUUCCACUGUUGUUUUUGGGUGUUUCGGAGAAUCUCAGCCUUGCUCUGAUAACAUGAACAAAUGGGUUUAGUUCAAGAAUCCUAUGUAACCUGUUUCUUGGAUCUCUGCUCGGCAGCUCUCGCUGGGUGAUAUGUAAAUAUGUCCUCAACGCAGUGAUGCUAUGAGGACACUGGAUAUAUACAAGAGGGCUGGACAACAGCCCCUUGCGCCAUUCUUAAAAGCGAUGGAAAAGAGUAUUUGAGAGAAGCAACUCCAUGGACGUGGUGAUUGUGGUAUGAUCCUAUGUUGAGUGAAUUGUGUACUCCUCACGCUACUUGCCUUCCUGUGUCGACCAAGCACAAUCAUAACUUACUCUAUGUAAACAAAUGGAUUAGCAAAACUUAGACGGCCUAUGGAUUAUCAUGUGAAAUGAUCUGUUUCGGAAGGGACAUGGUUCACUCGAAGAUAUUAUGCUAUAACAUCAGUCAUCCAGUGAGAGCAACUGAGAAAACUGAGGCUGCUCAGAGAUGUAGAAUGCAGGUUGAGAAGGUUGCGAAGGGGUUUAAAUUUGAUUGAGAGGGUAACGGAUGAAGGAUUUAUAACUGGAGAGUUUGGUUAGGCUGCAAUUUGUUCUGCGUACCAUCAAAUAUUGUUGUGUAAGUUUCAUUAAAUAUAUUUGUGUGCCUAUGCUUAUGUUAAUCUGAUGCACAAAAUUCAAAUAUCAAACAAGGCAUAUUGUACUCCCAGAAAGCAUUGGAAACCAGCCCAUCCAGCAGGUUGAGUUGUUGGUUGGGUCUCCGCAAAGUGGGACUCGCCAAUGCCCUGAAAAGUAUUUUGUUCGCUACUAGGUCUCUAACAUGGGAGCUGGCUGUGAGGUUAGAAUCAAAAUAGUCAGUUCCAAAAUCCCAUGUAUCAACAUUUGAAGUUACCUGAGCAGCCUUCUUAUUAGGUUGACCAUUUCUGGUCCUGACAGAAUGAGGAGCGUUGUCCUGAGAUAACGGUUGCUGCAAUAGUUUUGGAUCAUCAACAAAAACUUGCCACUGCACAGGAUUAGGAGGAUUGCUUCCAUCACUCUCCCUCUAUUAUAAAUCGAACAUAUGCUGUCAUUAUCAAUGGAUAAUAUGGUUAUGUGUGAUCCGUAAUGACAUUAUAUGGGAACAAUACCUGGGGAGUUGGAUAUGGCCCAACUUCAGAUGACAUUUGAUUUCUUGAAGCUUCCUUACUCUUUUCUGAUUGGUAUUAAUUAGCUAUUAUCGUUGGAAAAAUUUUUGUUCCUUGGUUUGGUUUGCUAGGUUGGUGGCGCGGCUUUUGCUA